rnacentral:rRNA from 1 species
AUUGAACGCUGGCGGCAGGCCUAACACAUGCAAGUCGAACGAGUGGCGGACGGGUGAGUAAUGUCUGGGAAACUGCCUGAUGGAGGGGGAUAACUACUGGAAAAGGUAGCUAAUACCGCAUACCAUCAGAUGUGCCCAGAUGGGAUUAGCUAGUUGGUGGGGUAACGGCUCACCAAGGCGACGAUUCCUAGCUGGUCUGAGAGGAUGACCAGCCACACUGGAACUGAGAAACGGGCCAGACCCCGACGGGAGGCAGCAGUGGUGAAUAUUGCACAAUGGGCGCAAGCCUGAUGCAGCCCUGCCUAGUGUAUGAAGUAGGCCUUCGGGUUGUAAAGUACGUUCAGCGGGGAGGCGUUACCCGCAGAAGAAGCACCGGCUAACUCCGUGCCAGCAGCCGCGGUAAUUC